UUGAAAGGUUAUGUUGUGUUCUUUUAUUGACAUGUGUUGAACACAGUACAUAUAAAUAUUAAUUUUUUUUUCAAUAAAUUAUGAUCAUUUAUUAAUAUGACAAGUAACAAAAGUAUCAUCGAAUAAAUUUGAUGAUAAAACAUUAAAAGUAUAACUCUACUGUCCAAUAGAUAUUUUACAUUUAAACAUGUUAAAAAAUAUAUAUCUACCUUUGAAAUUGCAAGCACGUAAGACUGCAGCAACUGCUACAGCAUCUACAGCACAAAUAAAAAGUUCGAAGCGAAAAGUAAAAGUAGAAUUAGAUGAAAAAAUUAGACAACAAAUUCUCAAUGAUGAAUUAAAACCCAAAAAACAACCAGGAACAGCUCAUCAAGUUGCACUUCAUUUACCAGAGUGGCUGUGUAAAGCAGUAAGAACUCUUGGUUCAGAGACUUGUAUGCCAUCAUUCGAAGAUGAAAUACUGGUACUUCAUCGAUAUUUACAUAGUCGACAACCUCCAAGUUAUCAAGCCCAUGUACAGAAAAAGUUUUCAGAAAUUAUUAAAGAAUUAACAGAACGAGUAGAUUUUGAAGCGGUUACAUCUGAAAAUAUGGAAGAAAUCGAAAAUAAAAUUGAAGUAGAUGCUCAUACAAAAUUAAAACAAUCUGUAUACAAUUGGCAACCUAUUGAAUAUACUUAUCAAAAAGGCUUGACAUAUUUGAUUGCAAGAGGAGGACAUAAUUAUGCAGCUUUGUAUACAAUUUUAAGCGAAAUCAAAAAACGUGAUCCUUCAUUUAUUCCCAAAACUUUAUUUGAUUUUGGAUCUGGUGUUGGCAGUGUAUCAUGGGUUGCAAUGACUUUGUGGCCAAAAUCUAUCAAAGAGUAUCUUGGUAUUGAAAUUUCUGAACCGAUGAUGAAACUUGCACAAAAAAUCAUCAAUAUGUCGGACACACCCAUUCAAAAUGUCUUCUUCAAACAAUACUUCCCAGUUGCCUCGCCAUCUUAUGAUCUUAUUGUUAGUGCAUUUUCUUUACUUGAAUUACCAACUAGAAGAAAUCGAAUGGAAACUGUGCUCAAUCUAUGGAGAAAAACUGCUCGCUAUUUAGUGAUUGUAGAAGAAGGAACUACUGCAGGUUUUGCGAUAAUAAAUGAAGUGAGGGAAUUUUUCUUGCGUGUAGUAAAAUCUCAUACUGAGAAAGGAAUGUAUAAGGCAUUCAUUUUUGCUCCAUGUCCUCAUCAAUUACCGUGCCCAAUGUUUCAAACCAGAGAUACAGCCUGUAAAUUCAAUGCUUCUUUUUUUGCUCUUCCUUAUUGGAAAAUGAAGAAAAAUCACGUACUGAACACUCAAUUCACAUACAUAGUUUUAAAGAAAGUGAUAAAACAGAAGAAGAUGAAUGGCCUAGAUUAGUACAGCCUGUACUAAAAGGAUCAAAACGGGCAAUAUGUCGAAUGUGUACUGCAGAAGGCAAUUUACAGGAAAUUACUUUUACUAAAUCUAAACAUGAAAGACCACUAUUCAGAUGUGCCAGGAAAAGUCACUUGGGAGAUAGACUUCCAAUUAAAAUUUUUAAUGAUGUUAACGCAUCAGAGACGUCUGACAAUCUUGAAAUGAAUGAUGAAGAAUUGAAUUCAGAUAAUGAUGAUUACGAC
rnacentral:misc_RNA from 1 species